rnacentral:rRNA from 1 species
UACGGGGGGGCAAGGCAGUGUUCGGAAUUACUGGGCGUAAAGCGCACGUAGGCGGCUUUGUAAGUCAGGGGUGAAAGCCCGGAGCUCAACUCCGGAAUUGCCUUUGAGACUGCAUCGCUUGAAUCACGGAGAGGUGGGUGGAAUUCCGAGUGUAGAGGUGAAAUUCGUAGAUAUUCGGAAGAACACCAGUGGCGAAGGCGGCCCACUGGACGUGUAUUGACGCUGAGGUGCGAAAGCGUGGGGAGCAAACAGG